rnacentral:lncRNA from 1 species
CCCGUGCGCAACCAUCUUCGGAUAUGUUGGCAUUUAAUGAGCGCAUGCCAGAGCCCUUUUUUUGAUUAGGGCGACCUGAAGAGUCUUUUCGGAACUCCCACUGGGACGUGAUCCCAAGCAUCGUGCCUUGAAAGUUUGCGAACAGUCAACCCUCGAUAGUGGUGAAUGGGACAUGCGGGACACGUGGUGAGCACCAGUUGGCCUAGGGAC